rnacentral:lncRNA from 1 species
GCCCUUCCCUUCCGUGUCUCCCCUCAGGACCCACCAGAGGACAUGAAGCAGGACCAAGAUAUCCAGGUGGACCGACAGUUUGCCUGCUCCUCCUGUGACCAUGUCUGGUGGCGCCGUGUGCCUCAGAGGAAGGAGGUGUCCCGGUGUCGAAAAUGUCGGAAGCGUUAUGAACCAGUGCCAAACGACAAGAUGUGGGGUCUGGCAGAGUUCCACUGCCCAAAGUGUCGCCACAACUUCCGGUGAGGGCCCGGACCCCAGCCCACCCUCAGCCCCGCCCCAGCCCAGCCCACCCUAAGCCCAGCCCCAGUCUAGUCCCCUCCUCCUGUCCCCUAUGCCCAGCCAUCCCCUCAGCCCCUCACAGCCCUGCUGGCCCCCAGGGGCUGGGCACAGAUGGGGUCCCCAUCACCCUGCUAUGGGUGCGGCUUCCCUGUGUAUCCCACUCGGAUCCUGCCUCCACGCUGGGA